UACAGAGGGUGCAAGCGUUGUUCGGAAUUAUUGGGCGUAAAGGGCGCGUAGGCGGUCGGGUAAGUCUGAUGUGAAAUCUCACAGCUUAACUGUGAAACUGCAUUGGAUACUAUUCGGCUUGAGAGUUGGAGGGGGGACUGGAAUUCUUGGUGUAGCAGUGAAAUGCGUAGAUAUCAAGAGGAACACCAGUGGCGAAGGCGAGUCCCUGGACAACUUCUGACGCUGAGGCACGAAAGCUAGGGGAGCAAACAGG
rnacentral:rRNA from 1 species